UACGGGGGGAGCAAGCGUUGUUCGGAUUUACUGGGCGUAAAGGGCGCGUAGGCGGCCAGUGCAAGUCAGUUGUGAAAUCUCCGAGCUUAACUCGGAAAGGUCAACUGAUACUGCUCGGCUAGAGUGCGGAAGGGGCAACUGGAAUUCUCGGUGUAGCGGUGAAAUGCGUAGAUAUCGAGAGGACCACCUGCGGCGAAGGCGGGUUGCUGGGCCGACACUGACGCUGAGUGAGCGAAAGCCAGGGGAGCAAACGGG
rnacentral:rRNA from 1 species